rnacentral:lncRNA from 1 species
ACCAAUCCUUUUUUUUUUUUUUUUUUUUUCCCAGAUAGACACAUGCAUCUAUAAAUGGACUAACAGACUGAAUGAGGAGAAAUAUUUCGGGCAGUUUAAACCAUUUGGAUUCUUGGCAUUAACUUCAAAGAAAUCGAACAAACAAAUCCUAGAUCACAAGAAUCUCCAUCUUUCCUAGCUUUGGGAGCUCAAAGACUAGUCCUCAAAGCCGGGAUUUCUUAUGGUAUCUUCCAGAGGCUGUCAUCGCUUUGUUCAUUCCUCUCCAGAGGCCUCGGGCCUCUGGAACGUACCAGCACCUGUUGGGCCACCAAAGCCCACAAUGUAGCUGGUGGGAAAUCUGUAAAUACCUGCUUCUUUAACGCCGUAUAAAAAGCCCACAGCGUUUUAAUUCUGAGGUUGUUGAUUAUCGUGCAAGAAUCACGAAAGACAUUAAUGGAAACAGGUGCGUGUAUUUUGCUCAUAUCUAUUUGACAUGUAUGGAUAGCUG